CCGAAGAGGCGAAUUCAGGUUAAAACAGCAGUGGGUCAUUUGGAGGAAUAGCCGGCUUGUGGACGGUCGCAGGGGACUUGUCGCUAAGUAACUAGUAUCGAACAAAACAAUCAUGCUGCUUCGUAAAGUGAGUCAAACCGCACUGUGUGGAUCCAUUCUCAGGAUCCCUCCCGUGUUAUCUGGAGGUCAGCGUCAUGCCGGGGCUGUGAUUGCUGCACAAAACGCUCGUCUUUACGCCAGCCAAGCUGCAGAGGCGGUGCUGGAGAAGCCAGCAGCAGUCGGCAGUGAAACCGCAACGAAAGUGGAAAAGACGUCGGUUGCUGCUGUAU